AGGACACCCUGGUGGGUGGUUCAGACUGGGGCUCAUUCCUAAGGCCUGUGUGUAGGUGUCUUUGAAAAUUACAUGCGCAAAGGCAGAGGUCAGCAAUCUCCUGGGCUAUCUGCAGAAAUAAACAACGUUGGUACAGGGGUCUUGAUCCAGGAGAAACACGGAGAGAAGAGGGACAGGAAGAAUGAAAAGAAGCAGCAGGGACAAAAAACAGGAGGAAGAAUGAGUCACAAUACACUCGAGAGUGACAUCUUUGUCACGGCUUUGCCUCUGUCUGGUUUUGAAUGUCCAGGCAACCACUCUCUUAACCAAAUUUUUAAUCAGCUACAGAUGCUUGUUUCUCAGGCUUGUGCGAGGUUCUGGAGGUGAGGGAAGGGGCGGGGCUUAGUUCUAGGUUUCCUCAAGGAAGUCUGACUUCCACUACACAUGAGUUUAAAGCAGCCCUGGAGUAGACCGGGUGCUUUUUUGAGCCCUUCUGCCCAUGUUUCUUUUCUCAGUAGAGAGUACAGCCUCUGAGUCUAGUGUUCAUCCACUUUUGACUCAGAAUUUGUUCCUAUUAGCCUAAGGGAGAUGUGAAAAGACAUCUCAAGGCCAACAUACCAGUAAAAAUUCAAUGACUCAUUUCUCCUUGAAGAUCUACACUGAGGGAUGAUUUUGUUCCCUUUAGAAACCCACAGCAGACUUUUCAGAAUAUGAUUUUCCCAGUCUCCAGCAUCUAUAAUUUUUUAUAAUAAAUGUAUAUGUAUGCAGUCAA